rnacentral:rRNA from 1 species
GGGCAUGGCGGGCGUCUAUAAUGCAGUCGAACGAACUCUGGUAUUGAUUGGUGCUUGCAUCAUGAUUUACAUUUGAGUGAGUGGCGAACUGGUGAGUAACACGUGGGAAACCUGCCCAGAAGCGGGGGAUAACACCUGGAAACAGAUGCUAAUACCGCAUAACAACUUGGACCGCAUGGUCCAAGUUUGAAAGAUGGCUUCGGCUAUCACUUUUGGAUGGUCCCGCGGCGUAUUAGCUAGAUGGUGGGGUAACGGCUCACCAUGGCAAUGAUACGUAGCCGACCUGAGAGGGUAAUCGGCCACAUUGGGACUGAGACACGGCCCAAACUCCUACGGGAGGCAGCAGUAGGGAAUCUUCCACAAUGGACGAAAGUCUGAUGGAGCAACGCCGCGUGAGUGAAGAAGGGUUUCGGCUCGUAAAACUCUGUUGUUAAAGAAGAACAUAUCUGAGAGUAACUGUUCAGGUAUUGACGGUAUUUAACCAGAAAGCCACGGCUAACUACGUGCCAGCAGCCGCGGUAAUACGUAGGUGGCAAGCGUUGUCCGGAUUUAUUGGGCGUAAAGCGAGCGCAGGCGGUUUUUUAAGUCUGAUGUGAAAGCCUUCGGCUCAACCGAAGAAGUGCAUCGGAAACUGGGAAACUUGAGUGCAGAAGAGGACAGUGGAACUCCAUGUGUAGCGGUGAAAUGCGUAGAUAUAUGGAAGAACACCAGUGGCGAAGGCGGCUGUCUGGUCUGUAACUGACGCUGAGGCUCGAAAGUAUGGGUAGCAAACAGGAUUAGAUACCCUGGUAGUCCAUACCGUAAACGAUGAAUGCUAAGUGUUGGAGGGUUUCCGCCCUUCAGUGCUGCAGCUAACGCAUUAAGCAUUCCGCCUGGGGAGUACGCCGCAAAGCUGAAACUCAAAGGAAUUGACGGGGCCCGCACAAGCGGUGGAGCAUGUGGUUUAAUUCGAAGCUACGCGAAGAACCUUACCAGUCUUGACAUACUAUGCAAAUCUAAGAGAUUAGACGUUCCCUUCGGGACAUGGAUACAGGUGGUGCAUGGUUGU